rnacentral:rRNA from 1 species
GAUGAACGCUAGCUACAGGCUUAACACAUGCAAGUCGCGGGGCAGCAUGGGGGUUGCUUGCAAUCCCCGAUGGCGACCGGCGCACGGGUGAGUAACGCGUAUCCAACCUGCCCUUCACCACGGGAUAACCCGGCGAAAGUCGGACUAAUACCGUAUGUUGUCCAUUGACGGCAUCCGAUUUGGACGAAAGGCUUGGCGGUGAGGGAGUGGGAUGCGUCCGAUUGGCUGGACGGCGGGGUAACGGCCCACCGUGGCUACGAUCGGUAGGGGUUCUGAGAGGAAGGUCCCCCACACUGGAACUGAGACACGGUCCAGACUCCUACGGGAGGCAGCAGUGAGGAAUAUUGAUCAAUGGGCGUAAGCCUGAACCAGCCAAGUAGCGUGCAGGAUGACGGCCCUAUGGGUUGUAAACUGCUUUUAUGCGGGGAUAAAGUGGCCCACGUGUGGGCUUUUGCAGGUACCGCAUGAAUAAGGACCGGCUAAUUCCGUG